UUGUUGAGCUUGACUCUAGUCUGACUUUGUGAAAUGACUUGAGAGGUGUAGAAUAAGUGGGAGUCGUUUUCGACGCAAGUGAAAUACCACUACUUUUAACGUUAUUUUACUUAUUCUGUGGGGCGGAGAUAAGGCAUUGCCCCUAUUUUUGGCCAUAAGACACUUUUUGGCGGGUCGAUUUGGGCGAAAGACAUUGUCAUGUGGGGAGUUUGGAUGGGGUGGCACAUAUGUUAAAAGAUAACACACAUUUCCUCAAAGUGUUGCCAUUGAUGGCAAUGGCCGAGAGCUCAUUCUUAACGCACUUGAUGGUGAUGAGUUUAGGAAACCAAAGAGGAUCAUUGCUUUUAAGGAUGAAGAAAGUUCCUACAA
rnacentral:ncRNA from 1 species